rnacentral:rRNA from 1 species
UACGAAGGGUGCAAACGUUGCUCGGAAUUAUUGGGCGUAAAGCGCGUGUAGGUGGUUAUUUAAGUCGAGUGUGAAAGCCCUUGGCUUAACCGAGGAAGUGCAUCCGAAACUGGCGAGCUAGAGUACGAAAGAGGAUCGCGGAAUUCCCGGUGUAGAGGUGAAAUUCGUAGAUAUCGGGAGGAACACCGGUGGCGAAGGCGGCGAUCUGGGUCGAUACUGACGCUGAGGAGCGAAAGCGUGGGGAGCGAACAGG